rnacentral:rRNA from 1 species
AAUGCGCUGAAAGAGGAGUCCGCGGCAGAUUAGCUAGAUGGUGAGGUAAUGGCUCACCAUGGCGAAGAUCUGUAGCCGGCCUGAGAGGGCUCACGGCCACACUGGCACUGAAACACGGGCCAGACUCCUACGGGAGGCAGCAGUGGGGAAUCUUGCACAAUGGAGGAAACUCUGAUGCAGCGACGCCGCGUGAGUGAUGAAGCCCUUCGGGGUGUAAAGCUCUUUCGACAGGAACGAUAAUGACGGUACCUGAAGAAGAAGCUGCGGCUAACUACGUGCCAGCAGCCGCGGUAAUACGUAGGCAGCAAGCGUUGUUCGGAAUUACUGGGCGUAAAGAGUGUGUAGGCGGUGCUCUAAGUUUGGUGUGAAAUCUCCCGGCUUAACCGGGAGGCUGCAUUGAAUACUGGAGUGCUAGAGGAUUGGAGAGGUAAGCGGAAUUCCUGGUGUAGCGGUGAAAUGCGUAGAUAUCAGGAGGAACACCUGUGGUGUAGACAGCUUACUGGACAAUUUCUGACGCUGAGACACGAAAGCGUGGGUAGCAAACAGGAUUAGAU